GAUGAAGAACGUAGCGAAAUGCGAUAAGUAGUGUGAAUUGCAGAAUUCAGUGAAUCAUCGAAUCUUUGAACGCAAAUUGCGCCCCUUGGUAUUCCAUGGGGCAUGCCUGUUCGAGCGUCAUUUGUACCUUCAAGCUCUGCUUGGUGUUGGGUGUUUGUCUCGCCUCUGCGUGUAGACUCGCCUCAAAACAAUUGGCAGCCGGCGUAUUGAUUUCGGAGCGCAGUACAUCUCGCGCUUUGCACUCAUAACGACGACGUCCAAAAGUACAUUUUUACACUCUUGACCUCGGAUCAGGUAGGGAUACCCGCUGAACUUAAGCAUAUCAAUAAGCGGAGGA
rnacentral:misc_RNA from 1 species